rnacentral:rRNA from 1 species
GACAGAGGGUGCAAACGUUGUUCGGAAUUACUGGGCGUAAAGCGAGUGUAGGCGGUGAGCAAAGUCUGAUGUGAAAGCCCUGGGCUCAACCUAGGAAGUGCAUUGGAUACUGGCUCGCUAGAGUACUGGAGAGGUUGGUGGAAUUCUUGGUGUAGAGGUGAAAUUCGUAGAUAUCAAGAGGAACAUCGGUGGCGAAGGCGGCCAACUGGACAGUGACUGACGCUGAGACUCGAAAGUGUGGGGAGCAAACAGG